rnacentral:rRNA from 1 species
GACGAACCGUACGAACGUUAUUCGGAAUCACUGGGCUUAAAGGGUGCGUAGGCUGCGCGGAAAGUUGGGUGUAAAAUCCCUCGGCUCAACCGAGGAACUGCGCCCAAAAACUGCCGUGCUCGAGGGAGACAGAGGUGAGCGGAACUUAGGGUGGAGCGGUGAAAUGCGUUGAUAUCCUAAGGAACACCGGUGGCGAAAGCGGCUCACUGGGUCUCUUCUGACGCUGAGGCACGAAAGCUAGGGUAGCGAACGGG